CCUACGGGAGGCUGCAGUGGGGAAUAUUGGACAAUGGGGGGAACCCUGAUCCAGCCAUGCCGCGUGUGUGAAGAAGGCCCUCGGGUUGUAAAGCACUUUCAGUGAGGAAGAACGCCUGGUGGUUAAUACCCAUCAGGAAAGACAUCACUCACAGAAGAAGCACCGGCUAACUCCGUGCCAGCAGCCGCGGUAAUACGGAGGGUGCGAGCGUUAAUCGGAAUUACUGGGCGUAAAGCGCGCGUAGGUGGCUUGAUAAGCCGGUUGUGAAAGCCCCGGGCUCAACCUGGGAACGGCAUCCGGAACUGUCAAGCUAGAGGGCAGGAGAGGAAGGUAGAAUUCCCGGUGUAGCGGUGAAAUGCGUAGAGAUCGGGAGGAAUACCAGUGGCGAAGGCGGCCUUCUGGACUGACACUGACACUGAGGUGCGAAAGCGUGGGUAGCAAACAGGAUUAGAUACCCCUGUAGUC
rnacentral:rRNA from 1 species